CUGAGUGAGAGGUGAAUAUGCUAUUUCUAAAAAGUACAGCCUGUUCUGCUUUGGAUGCCAGGGGAUUAUGUCACUGUAUCUGUUCCUAUCACAAAGGGAUGCUUUUCUGGAGCGCCUACUGCGCUGCAUGGAUCCUGCAUACAUCAGGGCCAGGAUUACCAACCAGGCGAAAGGUAGGACUUUCGCCUUCAUCCCAAGUGAGGGAUAUUUGCAAGCACAUAACCAAGAGAACAGGUAUUCCAGUGUAACAUGUUUGUGAUGUGGGAGGAGGCACUGGAAUCCUGAAACUCAAAGGACUCCCAGCCAACCGGGAACAGCCAAGAAAGGAGGUUCACUCCCAGUGGAAAGAGCACGAGCUUUGCUGUCGAAGGGACCUGGAUGCAGACACUGCCGCAGCCUUUGCAGCUUCAUGCUCUUGGCACAUCGUCUACCCUCUGAGCCUCCGUUCUCUUACAUGUAAAAUGGAGAUAAAUACACAUAUCUCACAGAUCAUUAGAAAGAUUGGGAGAGAUCCUUACAGACAACACGUGGGUCAUCUGGGAGCAGACCAGGUCGGCUUUGCAGGGGCCGAUGGAGACUACAGAGGAUGAUGACUCCACCGGUGGGCUCAGCCACUGUCCUCAGCCCAGCACUGGGCAUGGAGUGACUCUCAUGCCAGCCCAUCCCUUUCUUGUCAGCUGAAAUUCAGGGACUUCUAGACUCAAAUCUCAAUCAAUGACAAGGCAAAGUCAGACACUGUGCUUUCACUGUGCUAUUAGGUGUGAUUCCGUCUGUCCUGAGACUCUUAAAAUUCUAAACUUCUGCCAUCUACAAUCAAGAGCAGGAGACAAGGCAAACACAUGCGAGAAAUAAAGGCAAG